CGGUCUCCUGCUCCCGCACGUCAACGCCGCCACGGCAGGAUCGGACCACGCGUGAUUCGCGCAAACCCUGACACCCCUCUCCAAUCCGCGGACACCGGUAGAAUCCCGUCGAUCUCCUCGUCCGAUUUCCCCAACCUCCGCUCCAGGUCUCCCUAGAAAUCGACUGCACGAAGCUCAGGAAGCUCCGCCGUCUCGUUCAACUCCAGUGACUCUGACGGACGACUUCGGCCAGUCCAGACGCCAAAGUUGACUUCGUGGGCACACCUGUACUCGUUGUGCUCCGCCUCAUCCACGGGCAUCUUCCCCCAACUCCUUUCACCAAUGGGUGCGGUGCCCCGUUCGAUCAGAGCCGAGCGCCGCCAUCUUGCCCGACUUCGGCGACAACUCCGCCUGAACCAGUAUUGUGCAAUAGCAUGCUGCCACAUGGCACCACCUCAGCCCACAGCAGCUGCAGCAGCAAAAACGCUGCCGUGGCACAGUUUUUGGGAUUACUCGGAGCGUGACGAGUAGAAAUUAUCAGGAAUUGUGAGUGCGACGACCUUCAUCAAACUUACAG